AAACCAACCGGGAUUGCCUCAGUAACGGCGAGUGAAGCGGCAAAAAGCUCAAAUUUGAAAUCUGGCGUCUUUGGCGUCCGAGUUGUAAUUUGAAGAACGGUUCCUGCGUUUGCGCACUUGUCUAUGUUCCUUGGAACAGGACGUCAGAGAGGGUGAGAAUCCCGUUCGAUGGGUGCGCGUUCGCUUGUGGAGCCAGUUCGACGAGUCGAGUUGUUUGGGAAUGCAGCUCUAAGUGGGUGGUAAAUUCCAUCUAAAGCUAAAUAUUGACGAGAGACCGAUAGCGAACAAGUACAGUGAUGGAAAGAUGAAAAGAACUUUGAAAAGAGAGUGAAAAAGUACGUGAAAUUGUUGAAAGGGAAGGGCAUUUGAUCAGACUUGGCGGGGCAGUACUGGCGUCCACUUGUGGGCGUUUACUGGUGCUCUGCUGGGCCAGCAUCGAUUUGUGCGGCAGGAGAAUUGGGCGGAACGUGGCUGUGCUUCGGGACAGUGUUAUAGCCCG
rnacentral:rRNA from 1 species